rnacentral:rRNA from 1 species
UGAGGAAUAUUGGGUCAAUGGACGAAAGUCUGAACCAGCCAUGCCGCGUGAAGGAAUAAGGCCCUAUGGGUCGUAAACUUCUUUUGUAUGUGAGCAAUAAGGUCCACGUGUGGACCGAUGGGAGUAGCAUACGAAUAAGCAUCGGCUAACUCCGUGCCAGCAGCCGCGGUAAUACGGAGGAUGCAAGCGUUAUCCGGAUUCAUUGGGUUUAAAGGGUGCGUAGGCGGCUUGGUAAGUCAGCGGUGAAAUUCCAGUGCUCAACAUUGGCCGUGCCGUUGAUACUGCUGGGCUUGAAUGCGGAUGCCGUGGGAGGAAUGUGUGGUGUAGCG